rnacentral:rRNA from 1 species
GACUAACGCUGGCGGCGUGCCUAACACAUGCAAGUCGAACGAAGUAGCAAUACUUAGUGGCAGACGGGUGAGUAACACGUAGUCAACCUACCUCAGCGUGGGGGAUAACUAGCCGAAAGGUUAGCUAAUACCGCAUACGAUCGCUAAGUGGCAUCACAUGGCGAUGAAAGGAGCAAUCCGCGCAGAGAGGGGACUGCGUCCCAUUAGUUAGUUGGUGGGGUAACGGCCUACCAAGACUCCGAUGGGUAGCUGGCUUGAGAGAGCGACCAGCCACACU